UCCCUAUCAAUAAAGGCCUCAGACCAAGC
rnacentral:sRNA from 1 species